GCUGGGCGCAGUGGCGCGUGCCUGUAGUCCCAGCUGCUCGGGAGGCUGAGGUGGGAGGAUUGCUUGAGUCCAGGAGUUCUAGGCUGCAGUGCGCUAUGCUGAUCGGGUGUCUGCACUAAGUUUGGCAUCUAUAUGGUGACCAGGGAGCAGGGGACCAUCAGGUUGCCAAAGGAGGGGUGAACCAGCCCAGGUUGGAAAUGGAGCAGGUCAACCUCAAGGAGCCCUGCACCAACGUACAAGCGUCUCCGGGCCAUAGGUCAUGCAGGAAGCAUGAAAAAGAACGGCCACUGAGCUUCU
rnacentral:SRP_RNA from 1 species